CCUACGGGAGGCAGCAGUGGGGAAUAUUGCACAAUGGGCGCAAGCCUGAUGCAGCCAUGCCGCGUGUGUGAAGAAGGCCUUCGGGUUGUAAAGCACUUUCAGUCGUGAGGAAGGUAGUGUAGUUAAUAGCUGCAUUAUUUGACGUUAGCGACAGAAGAAGCACCGGCUAACUCCGUGCCAGCAGCCGCGGUAAUACGGAGGGUGCGAGCGUUAAUCGGAAUUACUGGGCGUAAAGCGCAUGCAGGUGGUUUGUUAAGUCAGAUGUGAAAGCCCGGGGCUCAACCUCGGAAUAGCAUUUGAAACUGGCAGACUAGAGUACUGUAGAGGGGGGUAGAAUUUCAGGUGUAGCGGUGAAAUGCGUAGAGAUCUGAAGGAAUACCGGUGGCGAAGGCGGCCCCCUGGACAGAUACUGACACUCAGAUGCGAAAGCGUGGGGAGCAAACAGGAUUAGAUACCCUGGUAGUCCACGCCGUAAACGAUGUCUACUUGGAGGUUGUGGCCUUGAGCCGUGGCUUUCGGAGCUAACGCGUUAAGUAGACCGCCUGGGGAGUACGGUCGCAAGAUUAAAACUCAAAUGAAUUGACGGA
rnacentral:rRNA from 1 species